UUAAUCUCUGAGAUAGGGCUAAAUCACCAAGCUCCCAGGAUGGCCUCAAACUUGUGAUCCUCUUGCUUCAGCUUCCCAGAUUGCCGGGAUUACAGCCUGGUGGCACCACACCUGACGUUCUAGUCUGCAUCUUGAUGGUUUCACUGCAUAUCCAAUUUCUUGAGCAUCAGCGAUGGACCAAGAAAGAUGCCACACAUGGAUUUAUCUCAUUACACAACAAGAGAAAUCGAAGUCAUCCAUAGAAAGAUCAAAAUAGAGAACAAGAGACUAAAACACCGUUGCAGUGAAUUAGAAGAAAAAUAUGAAGCCUCAGAGCUGCAGAUAACACAAAUAUUGACCAUCUACAGACACCAGUUGCAGCAGAAAGAGGUCGAAAUCAGCCUGCUGAAGGCAAGAGAGGGUGCACUGCAGGAAGAGCUGCUGAAGCUGCAGCAAGCCACUCAGGCGGUGCCCUUAGGGACCGACGGUGCACCAGCACCCACUGAGUCAUCUUAUGCCACCUACGGGACCCAUCAUGGUGCUUCAGCUGGCUAUGACGAGGACAUGGACUUUGAAGACCUGAUUUCCUGUCAACAACAAAUUAACCGUCUGACCAAUGAAGUCUCAAGACUUCAAUCUGAUGUGGGCCAUUGGAGGCGCAUUGCCCAGGUAGGUGAAUCUGCGUGAGUUUAAAAAGCUAGAAGUGAGUACGAAUAGCGGUGCUGU
rnacentral:lncRNA from 1 species